rnacentral:rRNA from 1 species
UACGUAGGGCGCAAGCGUUGUCCGGAAUUAUUGGGCGUAAAGAGCUCGUAGGCGGCUUGUCACGUCGGGUGUGAAAGCCCGGGGCUUAACCCCGGGUCUGCAUUCGAUACGGGCUGGCUAGAGUGUGGUAGGGGAGAUCGGAAUUCCUGGUGUAGCGGUGAAAUGCGCAGAUAUCUGGAGGAACACCGGUGGCGAAGGCGGCAUCCUGGACCGGUAUUGACGCUGAGGCGCGAAAGCCAGGGGAGCAAACGGG